GACGAACGCUGGCGGUGUGCUUAACACAUGCAAGUCGAACGGUAAGGCCCUUUCGGGGGUACACGAGUGGCGAACGGGUGAGUAACACGUGAGUAACCUGCCCUCAUCUCUGGGAUAACAGUCGGAAACGGUUGCUAAUACUGGAUAUGAGCUUGCAAGGCAUCUUGUGGGUUGGAAAGAUUUUUUUUGGUUGGGGAUGGACUCGCGGCCUAUCGGCUUGUUGGUGAGGUAGUGGCUCACCAAGGCUUCGACGGGUAGCCGGCCGGAGAGGGCGACCGGCCACAUUGGGACUGAGAUACGGCCCAAACUCCUACGGGAGGCAGCAGUGGGGAAUAUUGCACAAUGGACGGAAGUCUGAUGCAGCAACGCCGCGUGCGGGAUGACGGCCUUCGGGUUGUAAACCGCUUUCAAUUGUGACGAAGCUUUUUUGUGACGGUAGCAGUAGAAGAAGCACCGGCUAACUACGUG
rnacentral:rRNA from 1 species